CUCACCUACUUGAAUGUUGGUCAAAAGAUCAACGUUGUUUGUUAAAACCAGGUCCAGACAAGCAUCCAUUCUAGUUGGUGCUUGUACAAGUUGUGACAUGAAGGUGUCAUUUAACAAGUUUAAAAACCUAAUUCCCUUUGCUGAGGCACUAGUCCCUCUGUCCCAAUUUAUAUCCGGGUAAUUAAAAUCUCCAAUAAUUAAAGUGUUACCCAGAUUUGCAGCUUUCUCAAUUUGCUCAAACAGCUGUUGUUCCUCGUCAAUAUUAACAUUAGGUGGUUUAUAACAUAUCCCAACCAAUAGUUUGUUUCCCUUCUUUUCCCCCAAGCAGAUAUUUACCCAUAAAGCUUCCACAUUAUCCUCCUCGCAUUCCAUUUGCUUAACAUUUGGCUUUAAAUCAUGUUUGACAUAUCCUUCCUAAAUAACGUGUACCCAUUUAAGUUAGCUGCCCAGUCAUGUGUCUCAUCCCACCAUGUUUCAGUUAUGCCUAUUAUAUCAUAUUGUUUAGUGUAUGCUAAUGCCUCUAGUUCCCCCAUUUUGUUAUUUAGGCUCCUUGCAUUAGUAAGCAUACAUUUAAUAUUAUGCAUCACUUGUAUAUUUUGUGAAUUUUCAACAUUACACAGCUUCUCUGUUCUGAGCUUGCCCCUCCCCCCGUUUCCACCCCCCUUGUACUGUGCUAAAGCCCAUCUCCUUUCUG